AGUUUCCUGUUCCCAGGCCGGAACGCGGGUGACUAGAAAGCGCCUCUGACGUAACCCUCUCCUUGCUGUGUCUGCCUGGAAGAUCCCACCCUGUCCGUCGGUAGUUUCCAAGCUUGCAGCAAGCUCUAUAAGAGUGAGAUGCGGGUCUGGGGAGCCGCAGUCCUGGAGCCUGCAUACGACCUCGUGCUCUGAAGCUAUGCUGCGAGCUGCGAUGCUCAUCCUUUCGCCCCCUUGUGUCUACCGAUGCAAACGAGGGCAGACUGCACCGCUUCUGACAAGCAAACUGCAGGGACUCCUAAAUCGAAAACCAAACACGAGCCAUGGGUCUUUUUCCCGAUUGGUCUGCUUCCAUGGGUAGAGCCCACGGCCCAGCUGGGAGAUCCGAUAUCCAGAGGCCUUGCUGACGCUUUCUCUCCCUCCCUUUCGUAACGUUUCUCCCCGUUUACUGGGGAAAGCGCCACACUGAGCGUCGAGGCCCAGCUACCAGCAGUGUUUGGGGAGCGUGAGAACAGAGAAAUCAGGCGGGGAGGCAGGCGGGAGAGUCCGUGACACGGCGUGAGCAGCAGUGCUAUCCGCUCUCCAGCUGGAGUGGGACACUGCAGCCGGGAAGGCAGCGGAGCUCUGCUCUUCACCUUCUCGAUGUAGUGUUUCAUGGUUGGGAGGUACCAAAUACCUCCCGUAAAAAUACUGUCCCAGGUAUGUUCUUGCUUUACACUUCUGGUGGGACAGGAAGUUUGGUGUUUCUGUAAUAUGUUUGCUGUCUUAUCUUGUUCAAAAUAGGAAAAUAAAGAACAUUAAAUAUA